AGUUGAGUAUCAAAUUAAGUAUUUUGUUCAUCACUAGUUUUAAACUUUUUUUAAUAGAGAAAAAAAUGUUUUUUUUUUCUUUAAUGUAUUAAUGGACACAAAUUAUACAUAUUAUUAUAUGAUAAGAAACCCGACAUAUUUGUUGAGCAAAAAAAAAAAUAGAUAUUAACAUAAAUCAGGAUUAUAAACAUAUUUUAUAGCUUUUAAAAUAGUUAUGCGUACCCAGUGUUGAAUCUAGGUAUAUUGCAGGGAGGGCGAUAACCCCCUGGAAUUUUGUUUCCCUCUCCCCUGUUAUAUGUGGAUAAAUUAAUAAUUAAACAAAUAUGACUGUUUUUAGAAAACCAAAAAAAAAAAGGUCAUUACUAUAAUUUUAGUAAUACCACCCCCAAAAUAAUUUUCUGGAUUCAACUCUGUACGUACGCUAUCAAAAUUAAUUAUAACAAUAAUAACUCGUAAUGUAUUACUUAAAUACAUAAUACAUAAUAUCAUAAUUAUCAUCAAAAUGUAAUAUCCAAGAAAACAUAAAAAUAUAAUAUUAAUUGUAAAUAAUGGUUUAAAGUAAACAAAUAAAUAG